rnacentral:rRNA from 1 species
UACAGAGGGUGCGAGCGUUAAUCGGAAUUACUGGGCGUAAAGGGCGCGUAGGCGGUUUAUCAAGUGAGAUGUGAAAUCCCCGGGCUUAACCUGGGAACUGCAUCUUAAACUGGUAAGCUGGAGUACUGUAGAGGACAGUGGAAUUUCCGGUGUAGCGGUGAAAUGCAUUGAGAUCGGAAAGAACACCAACGGCGAAAGCACUCUGCUGGGCCGACACUGACACUGAGAGACGAAAGCUAGGGGAGCAAAUGGG